UGCAUCACUAUGAAGGUAUUAUAUCAUUGAUGUAUGGGCAAAUUGAAUCACAUCUAUUGCCAGCUUUUCUUGUUUGCCUGGCAAUUUUUUUCAUUUUUGAAAAUGAAAAUUGCAUCACAUUGGCUGUACCAGGUCAAUUACUUCGCUGAUUGUAACCUCGAGAUCUUUGACGAUCCAUCUGGUGUAGCAUGAAUUGCGGUUGGCUUGCUCUAUACACAAAGGGAUCCUUCUUUCAUCCGCCCUGUGUCACGAGGUAUCCAGAGGUGUCUUGUGAGAUGGUAUGCGUUGUAUUUUCUUACAUAAGACUACUAAAGAAGAUGAAACUGUUGUGAGAUCUGCGUGCUCAUUUUAUGUCACAGGCUUGUGCAGGAGCGAUUGCAGUAGAGCUUCCAGAACUCACUCAAGUACCUGUGGCAGCGAUUUUUCCGUGGUCGCAGUUAUCACCACUUGAUGCUAUAAGAAGGCUAUAAGUGACUCCAGUGAAUAUAUUGCAGGUUCAUCCUUCUUUGCCUCAGCCUUCUCUUUGACAGUUGCAAAGAAAUAAGGGAAACAGAACAGCAUGCUGAGAAUGAUCUUUUUGCUACUGACACAUUUAACUUAAGAUAUAUGCACAAGCAGAACUGAGUUUAUCUGAUAAGAACCGAUUCCUCCAUUUCUGUGCAAGUCCAUUUAUGUUAUUAGCUUCAUGUAGUAUGAAGACAGCAGUGAUAUCCGUUUCUCUUCAUGUUGAUUGUGUCAAAGCGAGCCCUUGAUUUCAGGUGCCUGCAAACAGAGGACCCUCCAUUAACCUGUAUACACAUGAUUCCUGUAAGUCCAUU